UGAAUUAAGACCAGAAGGAAGUGAGAAAAUGAAUAAUGCAAACAUUUGGGGAAAGAGCACUCUAGGCAGAGGAGGCAACUGCAAAGGCCACUGUUGUGGGUAUAAUUGUGUUCUCCUGAAAGACACAGAAACAGAGACACAUGGGAGAAUGCCAUGUGAUGACAGAGGAGAGACUGAAAUGGUACAGCCACAAGCUCAGGAAUGCCAAGAAUUGAGAGCCACCACCAGAAGCUAGGAAGAGGUGAGAUGGACUGGCCUGGCUUCUUCUUUGGUUGGAUCUCCACUACUGAUCCAAACAACCAUGGCUGAGGACAGGGUCAUUUUGAAGGAAAACUUGCUUUUUUCCAAAGCUGCAGAUGGAGUUUAUUUUCUAAGAAGAGGAUAUGAAAAUGAGAAGGAUAUAAUGGGUAUCUUUAGCACAAAAAUCUUCACAGCUGUGAUACUGUGGGAGAAAUGUUCAACCUUUAACCCAGGUUAUCACACUUUUUAUUGCUGCAUCGUUUCAACCUCAUGCUUAAGCAAUCCUAAAGGGCAAGAAAAUGAACCCACUAAACAUUUAUGCUUCAAAAUCACCAUAUGAGAUGGAAACUACUCUCCUUGCCUUAGAAAGGAAAGAACUAAGGCUCAGACAAGAUCAUAUGGUUAAUAAAUAGGAAGACGAAGAAUGGAACCAGGUUGUUGGCCUCCAAAUCUGGUGUCUCACUGUUGUACUUCAACUGACUCACAGUUUCUUCAAGCCUUUGUUAUUCUACAAAAAUACAGGUGUGGUAGUGCAUGCCUGUAAUCCCAACACUUGAGAGACUGAGGCAGAAGGAUCACAGUGAGUUCAAGGCCAGCCUGGGCUACAUAGUAAGACCCUGUCCCGGAAAAAAAAAAAAAAAUCUCUCAUGUGGC
rnacentral:lncRNA from 1 species